AUACGUAGGGGGCGAGCGUUGUCCGGAAUGAUUGGGCGUAAAGGGCGCGUAGGCGGCGCGGUAAGUCUGGAGUGAAAGUCCUGCUUUCAAGGUGGGAAUUGCUUUGGAUACUGCCGCGCUUGAGUGCAGGAGAGGUUAUCGGAAUUCCCGGUGUAGCGGUGAAAUGCGUAGAGAUCGGGAGGAACACCAGUGGCGAAGGCGGGUAACUGGACUGCAACUGACGCUGAGGCGCGAAAGUGUGGGGAGCAAACAGGAUUAGAUACCCUGGUAGUCCACACUGUAAACGAUGAAUGCUAGGUGUAAGAGGUAUCGACCCCUCUUGUGCCGGAGUCAACACAAUAAGCAUUCCGCCUGGGGAGUACGGCCGCAAGGUUGAAACUCAAAUGAAUUGACGGGG
rnacentral:rRNA from 1 species